UACGGGGGGGGCAAGCGUUGUUCGGAAUUACUGGGCGUAAAGGGCUCGUAGGUGGCCAACUAAGUCGGACGUGAAAUCCCUCAGCUUAACUGGGGAACUGCGUCCGAUACUGGAUGGCUCGAGUUUGGGAGAGGGAUGCGGAAUUCCAGGUGUAGCGGUGAAAUGCGCAGAUAUCGGGAAGAACACCCGUGGCGAAGGCGGUUCUCUGGGACGGUACUGACGCUGAGACGCGAAAGCGUGGGGAGCGAACAGG
rnacentral:rRNA from 1 species